rnacentral:misc_RNA from 1 species
CAGAGUUCAUGCCCUCACGGGUAGAUCUCCCACCCUAUGUUAUUACAACGAUGUUGCUUUGGCAGGCCGCCUCUCGAGGCUACCGGCUCCGGCUGGUGCGCGCCUGCCAGAGAACCCCAAACUCUGAAAUUAGUGUUGUCUGAGUACUAUAUAAUAGUUA